GGCUGGUUCAAAGGUUGUGCAUUAUCUCAAUUGAUUGUUCACAGUCAGUUACAGAUCGAACUCCCUGUUCUACUUUUCCCCCUUCUCACUGCUGCACUUGACUAAUCUUAA
ensembl:Y_RNA Y_RNA Y RNA